GAUGAACGCUGGCGGCGUGCCUAAUACAUGCAAGUCGAGCGGUAACACUUCGGGUGACGAGCGGCGGACGGCUGAGUAACGCGUAGGAAUGUACCCCAGAGUGAGGGAUAAGCACCGGAAACGGUGUCUAAUACCGCAUAAUCUCUUCGGAGCAAAGCUUUUAGCGCUUUGGGAACGGCCUGCGUAUGAUUAGCUUGUUGGUGAGGUAAAAGCUCACCAAGGCGAUGAUCAUUAGCUGGUCUGAGAGGAUGAUCAGCCAGACUGGGACUGAGACACGGCCCAGACUCCUACGGGAGGCAGCAGUAGGGAAUUUUCCACAAUGGGCGAGAGCCUGAUGGAGCAACGCCGCGUGCAGGAUGAAGGCCUUCGGGUUGUAAACUGCUUUUAUUGGUGACGAUUAUGACGGUAGCCAAUGAAUAAGGAUCGGCUAACUCCGUGCCAGCCGCCGCUGUAA
rnacentral:rRNA from 1 species